rnacentral:misc_RNA from 1 species
AACUGAUACUACCUGCGGGAACCUGCGGAGGGAUCAUUACUGAGUUUCACAACUCUCUAACCCUGUGUGAACUGAAGUCUGGUUGCUCAGGCAGGCGGCCCCCGGGGGGAGCCGCAGCUUCUCUGAAGCGCCUGCCGGAGGAUACCUAAACUCGUUUUAACAUAUAAUCUUCUGAGUAAUAAAAAAAAAUGAAUCAAAACUUUUAACAACGGAUCUCU